UCUCUGUUAGUAUAUCGGUUAGUACACGCGCCUGUCAUUACUUCAUGACCGCGCGAAAGCGGGGUUCGACUCCCCGACAGAGAG